GGCAAGAUGGCCGAGUGGUUAUGGCGGUAGUCUCAAGUUCACACUUGCCUUAGCACAACUAAGGUUGCUACUUCCGCAAGGAUCAGGGGUUCGAAUCCCCUUCUUGUCA